UACCUAGCAACAGCAAGAUAAGCAGCCC
rnacentral:piRNA from 1 species